GUUACUGCUAUCGGUGUUCGACUAAGCCAUGCAAGUCAUAUGUUCCUCGUGAACAUGGCAUACUGCUCAGUAACACGUGGAUAACCUGCCCUUGGGUCUGGGAUAACCCCGGGAAACUGGGGAUAAUACCGGAUAACGCAUAUGUGCUGGAAUGCUUUAUGCGUAAAACGGAUUCGUCCGGCCAAGGAUGGGUCUGCGGCCUAUCAGGUAGUAGUGGGUGUAAUGUACCUACUAGCCAACAACGGGUACGGGUUGUGAGAGCAAGAGCCCGGAGAUGGAUUCUGAGACAUGAAUCCAGGCCCUACGGGGCGCAGCAGGCGCGAAAACUUUACAAUGCGGGAAACCGUGAUAAGGGAACACCGAGUGCCAGCAUCAUAUGCUGGCUGUCCAGAUGUGUAAACUACAUCUGUUAGCAAGGGCCGGGCAAGACCGGUGCCAGCCGCCGCGGUAACACCGGCGGCCCGAGUGGUGACCGUUAUUAUUGGGUCUAAAGGGUCCGUAGCCGGUUUGGUCAGUCCUCCGGGAAAUCUGAUAGCUUAACUGUUAGGCUUUCGGGGGAUACUGCCAGGCUUGGAACCGGGAGAGGUAAGAGGUACUACAGGGGUAGGAGUGAAAUCUUGUAAUCCCUGUGAGACCACCUGUGGCGAAGGCGUCUUACCAGAACGGGUUCGACGGUGAGGGACGAAAGCUGGGGGCACGAACCGGAUUAGAUACCCGGGUAGUCCCAGCCGUAAACUAUGCUCGCUAGGUGUCAGGCAUGGCGCGACCGUGUCUGGUGCCGCAGGGAAGCCGUGAAGCGAGCCACCUGGGAAGUACGGCCGCAAGGCUGAAACUUAAAGGAAUUGGCGGGGGAGCACAACAACGGGUGGAGCCUGCGGUUUAAUUGGACUCAACGCCGGACAACUCACCGGGAACGACAGCAAUAUGUAGGCCAGGCUGAAGACCUUGCCUGAAUCGCUGAGAGGAGGUGCAUGGCCGUCGCCAGUUCGUACUGUGAAGCAUCCUGUUAAGUCAGG
rnacentral:rRNA from 1 species